AUUCAUGUAGUUUACCUAAAACAUUACAUUUUCACUGUAAAAAGAAGCUUUGGCUUUAUGAAUG
rnacentral:tRNA from 1 species